UACGGAGGGUGCAAGCGUUAAUCGGAAUUACUGGGCGUAAAGCGUACGUAGGUGGAUUUGUAAGUUGGAUGUGAAAGCCCUGGGCUUAACCUGGGAACUGCAUUCAAAACUGCAAGUCUAGAGUACAGGAGAGGGAAGUGGAAUUUCCGGUGUAGCGGUGAAAUGCGUAGAUAUCGGAAGGAACACCAGUGGCGAAGGCG
rnacentral:rRNA from 1 species